rnacentral:rRNA from 1 species
UUGUCUCAAAGAUUAAGCCAUGCAUGUCUCAGUACAAGCCAAAUUAAGGUGAAACCGCGAAAGGCUCAUUAAAUCAGUUAUGGUUCCUUAGAUCGUACCCACAUUUACUUGGAUAACUGUGGUAAUUCUAGAGCUAAUACAUGCAAACAGAGCUCCGACCGGAGACGGAAGGAGCGCUUUUAUUAGAUCAAAACCAAUCGGUGGCGGUUUCCGUCAUCGUACAACUUGGUGACUCUGAAUAACUUUACGCUGAUCGCACGGUCUUGCACCGGCGACGCAUCUUUCAAAUGUCUGCCUUAUCAACUGUCGAUGGUAGGUUCUGCGCCUACCAUGGUUGUAACGGGUAACGGGGAAUCAGGGUUCGAUUCCGGAGAGGGAGCCUGAGAAACGGCUACCACAUCCAAGGAAGGCAGCAGGCGCGCAAAUUACCCACUCCCGGCACGGGGAGGUAGUGACGAAAAAUAACGAUACGGGACUCAUCCGAGGCCCCGUAAUCGGAAUGAGUACACUCUAAACCCUUUAACGAGGAUCAAUUGGAGGGCAAGUCUGGUGCCAGCAGCCGCGGUAAUUCCAGCUCCAAUAGCGUAUAUUAAAGUUGUUGCGGUUAAAAAGCUCGUAGUCGAAUCUGUGUCCCGCGCCGCCGGUUCAUCGUUCGCGGUGUUAACUGGCGUGCCGCGGGACGUCCUGCCGGUGGGCUUAGCUCGCAAGGGCGGCCCAACUCAAUCCUGCCGCGGUGCUCUUCAUUGAGUGUCGAGGUGGGCCGGCACGUUUACUUUGAACAAAUUAGAGUGCUUAAAGCAGGCUAAAACUUUGCCUGAAUACUGUGUGCAUGGAAUAAUGGAAUAGGACCUCGGUUCUAUUUUGUUGGUUUUCGGAACCCCGAGGUAAUGAUUAAUAGGAACGGAUGGGGGCAUUCGUAUUGCGACGUUAGAGGUGAAAUUCUUGGAUCGUCGCAAGACGGACAGAAGCGAAAGCAUUUGCCAAAAACGCUUUCAUUGAUCAAGAACGAAAGUUAGAGGUUCGAAGGCGAUCAGAUACCGCCCUAGUUCUAACCAUAAACGAUGCCAGCUAGCGAUCCGCCGACGUUCCUCCGAUGACUCGGCGGGCAGCUUCCGGGAAACCAAAGCUUUUGGGUUCCGGGGGAAGUAUGGUUGCAAAGCUGAAACUUAAAGGAAUUGACGGAAGGGCACCACCAGGAGUGGAGCCUGCGGCUUAAUU